rnacentral:rRNA from 1 species
GGCCAGACUCCUACGGGAGGCAGCAGUGGGGAAUAUUGCACAAUGGGGGAAACCCUGAUGCAGCGACGCCGCGUGAGUGAAGAAGUAUUUCGGUAUGUAAAGCUCUAUCAGCAGGGAAGAAAAUGACGGUACCUGACUAAGAAGCCCCGGCUAACUACGUGCCAGCAGCCGCGGUAAUACGUAGGGGGCAAGCGUUAUCCGGAUUUACUGGGUGUAAAGGGAGCGUAGACGGCAUGGCAAGUCAGAUGUGAAAGCCCGGGGCUCAACCCCGGGACUGCAUUUGAAACUGUCAGGCUGGAGUGCAGGAGAGGUAAGUGGAAUUCCUAGUGUAGCGGUGAAAUGCGUAGAUAUUAGGAGGAACACCAGUGGCGAAGGCGGCUUACUGGACUGUAACUGACGUUGAGGCUCGAAAGCGUGGGGAGCAAACAGGAUUAGAUACCCUUGUAG